AUUUUCGGCAAGAACAACUUCAUAUAGAAGAGUGCCUUUGAAUUGACGGCCUGCACAUGCGCAGUUUGGCGCGAUACGACCGUUAUACCCGAUAACGUGUUUCUGCGCAUGAGCUUAGCAAGCCAACAUCGCCUACAAGCGUGAAUAGGUAUUUAUAUUGGAGAAGCAGUUUCUACAUAUCUUUAUACUAAACAAUUUUUGGUUCAGCCAUCCCUAUGGUGAAAAAAAAGGGUUUUGGAAUAAACACGAAAAUGAUGUCUGAUGUUAACACAGGUUUCAAAUCAAAUUGUAUUAGUCACAUGCGCCGAAUACAACAGGUAGACCUUAGAGUGAAAUACUUAUGAGCCCCAAACCAACAAUGCAGUUAAAAAAAAUACGAAUAACAAUAAGAAAUAAAAGUAACAAGUAAUUAGAGAGCAACAAUAGCGAGACUAUACACAGGGGGGCUAUCGGUACAGAGUCAAUGUGCAGGGGGCACCGGUUAGUUGUGGUAUUAUGUACAUGUAGGUGAAUAUGCUUAGAUGAUAACAACAGAGAGUAGGGGGGGGGGGCAAUGCAAAUAGUCGGGGUAGCCAUUUGAUUAGGUGUUCAGGAGUCUUAUGGCUUGGGGGUAAAAGCAGUUUAGAAGCCUCUUGGACCCAGACUUGGCGCUCCGGUACUGCUUGCCAUGCGGUAGCAGAGAGAACAGUCUAUAACUAGGGUGGCUGGAGUCUGACCAUUUUUAGGGCCUUCCUCUGACACCGCCUGGUAUAUAGGUCCUGGAUGGCAGGAGGCUUGGUCCUAGUGAUGUACUGCGCCGUUCGCACUACCCUCUGUAGUGCCUUGCGGUCGGAGGCCAAGCAGUUGCCAUACCAGGCAGUGAUGCAACCGGUCAGGAUGCUCUCAAUGGUCCUGCUGAGGAUCCAUGCCAAAUCUUUUCAGUCUCCUGAGGAGAAAUAAUUUGUUGUUGUUAUCAGGGCACAAAGCGAGACGCAGGAGGCAGAUGGUUGGAGUCUUAGAUGUUUAUAGAUCCAAAAAGGGGUAUUCAAGAGAAUGGUCGUGGACUGGAAAAAGGUCAAAACCAGUUCAGAAUCCGGGAGGUACAGAGUGGCAGGCAGGCUCGAGGUCAAGGCAGGCGGAUACAGAGUCCAGAAACAGGCACGGGUCAGAACCGGGGGGGCUAGCAAAAAGAGAAUACAAAAGGCAGGUGCACGGGAAAAGUGCACAUUAAUCAACGUUUCAGUAAAAGUGCUGGUUUAGGACAAGCAAUACAUAGCAUACAGACAGAGAAACAUAGGACAAGCAAGACGUAGCAUACAGACAUAGCAACAUAGGACAAGCAAGACGUAGCAACAUAGAACAAAAAGCAGCAAGACAAAAUUCUGUCACAAUUUACCCAUGCUACAUCAUGGUCUUGAUGCUCUCGAACACAGCCAAUGUCGAUGGUGUAUGCAGAUGGCAAUUAAGACCCAGACACUUUGAAUAUUUUUUAUAUGUCAUCAAAUGAAAACAUAUAUUGUACUGUAGCAGCUGCUACCAUACUGUAAAAUUCCAUCAACCACUGUAAAUAAUGUAAUAAUGUUGUAUCUACAGUGUAAGUACCAUAAUCAGGAUUUGAAUAGAGAACCACAGUAUGUCAUAAUACUCAUAAAACCUAGCGAUCAAACACGGAAAAGGUUCCAAUCGAUUUUUAGAAACAAUUCAAAUAAGGUCUGUGUUUCGUGUAGGCUUACACUGACGUGACGUUUUGAUAACUGUGUAAAUCUCUCUCAGACAAGGUGACUAUUAUCAGAGAGGAAGAGAAGAGUUGUUUUUUUGUUUUGCCCACCCAGCAAGACGUUUUUGUAUGGAGGUCAAUGACAGAGUGUCAAAUUUGCUCAAUUAAAAAAUGAAUGGCUUAUUUGCGAUGUGAGGUUUAUUUGAUCUGAUAGAAGUUUUGUAAUGCUUAAGAUGUUACGAGUCUACUGAUAGUGUACAUUGUGAGACAAAAUACUUUAUAUCAGAGUUGUUUCGAGAUGACUAUGCAUUUUCAUGUCAUGAGGCUAGUAGUAUAGCAUUUCUCUCCAUUGAAUACUGGCGGUUGACGUCAACAACCCGCAUCAAAAAAACAUUACACUAAUGAGAUGUAUCCACCAAUCCAAAGAAAGGAUAGGCGGGAGCUGAGACAGCCCACUGUGGCGUUUCGUUGACAAUGACUCCCAUUGUUAGGGUGGAGAGACGUAUAUUUUGACAGUAAAUCCAUAUCAAUAUAACGUAGAUGGUGACACUAGGCGUUCUUGAGAGUAUGUUUUUGUGUCUGUGGGUGAGGGGUGGGUAACCUACUUCAUUACUACUUGACUUGUAGCUGCCCUAGCUUGCUGUAUUAUUUUGGUUGGUGGUGGAAAAAGUACCAAAAUGUCAUACUUGAGUAAAAGUAAAUAUACCUUAAUAGAAAAUGACUCAAGUAAAAGUGAAAGUCACCCAGUAUUUGGUUUUAAAUAUACAUAAUUAUCAAAAGUAAAUGUAAUUACUUAAAUAUACUUAGAAAAGUAUAAAUAGUUUCAAACUCCUUAUAUUAAUUUAAAAAAUGCAUUAAACGGAUAGCCAGGGGCAAACUUCAACACUCAAACAUAAUUUACAAAUGAAGCAUGUGUUUAGUGAGUCCUCCAGAUCAGAGGAAGUAGGGAUGACCAGGUAUGUUCUCUUGAUGAGCAUUCAAAAUGUAACAAGUCAUUUUGGGUGUCAGGGAAAAUAAAUGGAGUAAAAAGUACAUUAUUUUAUUUAGGAAUGUUGUGAAGUAAAAGUAGUCAAAAUGUUAAAUAGUAAAGGAAAGUACAGAUACCCUUUUCAAGUAUUUUUACUUAAGUACUUUACACCACUGAUUUUGGUCUGGCUUUUUGAGAGGUUUCAGAGAUGGACUUAUUAUCAUCCUCUCUUGAGUCAACAGUGUGCAUACUUUACUACAGGAAGGAGUCGAUCUGUUUGCUGUUACCCUCUGGAAAGCAGAUCAUUAGUAUAGCUAGUAGGCAAGGUUAUGUAAUGUUAUUUAGUCCUGUCUGCUAUGGUGGGUUUUAAAUGAAUUGGUAUUCACAUGUUAGUUUUUUUUAGGUAGAAUUACUGUCAUGUUAUUGAUACCAAAUUGCAAACCUUAUUUGCACCUUUUCUAUUCCAGAACCAAUGGGUGUGCCUGAGUCUUAUCACCUCUCAACUAGGUCAGCUGUUUCAACCUGGAAUGCUGUGCUCCUGCUUUGGUCUGUUUCAGUCAUUGCAGGAAGUCCUGUGAAGGGUUUUGUCCCAGCCCAGCUCUAACACCUGACUUAAAUAAUCAAAAUAAUGAAUCACCGCGAUAGGCUAUGUUUUGUAAUCAGGUAUGAGCUCGGCUGGAACAAAAGCUUAUACAGUCCUGCUAUGUGUAUCUGGAUCUGUCCACCCAUUUAAGUAAUUAUUCUGUACUAUGGGAACAGUUGAACUUGUUAACUGAUACCAAUGCGGCCGCUGCUAAGAAGCACGGAGUAGCUAUGGACCAGAAGACUGCAGCCAAGGCCACACUGGUCCACACCUGCCUUGUCUGUUGGAGUAAAUACAAACCCGAAGACGUUCAAGCAGCACUCUGAGAGCAAGCAUCCCAAGUCUCCAAUGCUCCCAGUACUGGUUGAUGUGCGGGCCUAAGUGACCACACACGCUGAAAUGGACCUACAUCUGGGGUAAGACUCUUCCAUCAUUCACACACAGUAGACAUAGUAUAAACCACGAGGUUGUCAACUAAAUUAUGUCCUCAAUGCUUAAGUUGAAUUUUGUGUGGCUCAAUUGGUGGAAAUCAUGUGAUCACUCAUCAUCUUUGUUAUGACUGACCCUGAGAAUCUAAAUCGGUCAGAACAGGUUUGCAAUGAAUAACUUCAAUCAGUCCCCCUCUCCCCAAUAGAGGGGGAAGGAAAGAACCUAGUGGGGAUUAACAACUCACAUCCUGUUGUAAAUCAAGGGAGAAGAUCCAGGCCUGUGCUCUCAAAAUUCACCAAAGGAAUGUGCUUUGUCUCAACAGACUUGUUCCCGCUGAAACUCUUAACACUUUCAAAAGCGAAUACUGGACAAUAUUUCUAACGUAGAAUGUGGGGAAUGGUCAGAGGAGAUCUACAGAACACUAAUGUCGUUUUGUAUGCUAUUUUGUGAUGUCAUUAAAAAUGUUAUAAAGGAAAUACUGUAACUUGGAAAGUAUACCCACUACAUGGAUGAAGUUUCCAUACUAUGGGUUGUGCAUGUAAUAUGGAAAAUUAUGAACGUGUUUUUGUUAAGAGAGGGAUGUGAUUUGAUAAGUUAUAAUAGAGAAUUGUUUCCAUAACUUUGCACACCGCCCCGGAGUGACGUCAUGAAGCAUGCCAGCCUGCCAGAACCGCCAGUUUUGUUCAAAAGUUAUAAAUGAUGGGUUAUGAAUUAACACAUGGGACUAGAAAAGUGUGAAGCUGCAGCUGCGUGUUUAAAAUGGUUUGAACUUUGAAUCUCAAGUCGAGGUGGAGACGAUAAACUCACCUCCCAGAAAAUCACUGGUACGGCUGAUUGGCUGUCCUAAGUAAAGUAUCUUCAAAAGAGAAUUUAAGUAGGACCAACCUGUUACUCUGCUCAAACCAUCGUAUAUAAGUUAUCGUGAUUUGACUUUAACAUGAAUCUGAAGACUGUUAUUUAUCUAAUUAACUAACUAUGUUUAAUUGUUACCCGAUUGAAUGAAUCAUGUAAAACAUAACUCAUUGGGAUCUGGGGCACCACGAGAGCGGUUCUUUAAAACUCUAACAUAGUUAGUUCAUUAGAUAAAUAACAGUCUUCAGAUUCAUGUUCAAGUCAAAUCACGAUAACUUUAAUGUUAUGAUUCACAGACACUCGAUGUUCACAAUUUGAAUGACAUUGAGGGACACGCUAAGACCCCGAGUAUGACUGGACAUGGGCCGGAUAUUUGUGACAAUGACUUAGAAGGGUUGCAGAAACACACCAGUACCAUGACGAGCAAGUUAAAUGUUUAUUCCAUAGCUACCCCUUAUUCCACACUGCCUUUUUAUGCACCGUGGUCCUUCAACUUUGAACAUUUCGGAACUCUCCAUCUUAUCUCUAUAAACCCACCCUACCUUCACCCAUAUUCCCUAUGCUGCUACCUUAACUUAUUCUUCUCCUGAUUUGAUCAAAUCUAGACUAAGUCACAUGUUUAAAAGUGGCCAGCAGAGAUAGGUGGGAUGGGCUGAGGGUUGGGAUGUGGAAUUGGAAACAAGUGGGAGUGGAGUUGCUGGGCGUGGGAUAGAAUGGGGGUCAAAGAUAAAAGUAUAAAAAGUCAAAAUAAAACAACAUCAAGUAAGUUUGAAUGACACUGAGGGGCAGGGUUUUUACAGCUAAUGCCGGGUUGCCUGAAGCUGAUGCCGUGCAGGUGUUUGUACACAUGCAUAUACACACUCUCAUUCAAAUGCACACACGUGCACAUACACAGACACACAUACAUGUAAAUAGGGCCAUACAUGCACUCAAACAUAUUCAGUUGGCCUUGCUUGUUAUGAUUUUUUGUUGUCUUUUGUUUUCUGCAUUGUUGUUUUCUGUUUUUCCUUUGUCUUUCUCUUAUUUCUCUUUUGUUCUUUUUCCUGGUUAUUGGGAAAGGGGUGGUGGAAUUAUUAUUAUUUUAAAAUCUUAUUUUCUCGGGGACGGGGAGUCUCAGAUGGUUGAGGGGCAGCUCUUGGGUAACUGUGGGGAGGGGGAUCUUGGACGGCGGUUGGAAACUUGGGCCGGUGGCUGAUGGAUCGUUGGUUCGGGUCCCCGUUUUUGACUUUGUGGAACACCUGUCGACGUGCCCUUGAGCUGGCCGUUGACCCUGGUUGCUUCUGUGUGUCGCUCUGGAUGGGAGUCUUUUAGAUGUGAUGUUGUUGUUGAGCAGCUUCCCUGCAAGUAUAUUAUAUGUUUUAAAUAUUCAAUAAAAAAAUCAUAAUAAUAAAAAAAAAGGUUUAAAAGUG